rnacentral:rRNA from 1 species
GACGAACGCUGGCGGCGUGCUUAACACAUGCAAGUCGAACGGAAAGGCCCUGCUUGCAGGGUACUCGAGUGGCGAACGGGUGAGUAACACGUGGGUGAUCUGCCCUGCACUUCGGGAUAAGCCUGGGAAACUGGGUCUAAUACCGGAUAGGAGCCAUUUUUAGUGUGAUGGUUGGAAAGUUUUUUCGGUGUAGGAUGAGCUCGCGGCCUAUCAGCUUGUUGGUGGGGUAAUGGCCUACCAAGGCGGCGACGGGUAGCCGGCCUGAGAGGGUGGACGGCCACAUUGGGACUGAGAUACGGCCCAGACUCCUACGGGAGGCAGCAGUGGGGAAGAUUGCACAAUGGGCGCAAGCCUGAUGCAGCGACGCCGCGUGGGGGAUGACGGCCUUCGGGUUGUAAAAUCCUUUCGCUAGGGACGAAGCUUUUUGUGACGGUACCUAGAUAAGAAGCACCGGCUAACUACGUG